CCAUCAUUCACCUUCUGUGGUGGUGGGCGUGUACGAACAGUUCGCUUCUAGCUGCAAGCUACAAUGACAAAUAACAUUAGUGACUAUAGUAAGCUACAUUUUUAUCGUCUGGCUGUUUCUUGGUAGCACAGACUCUGUCGAGGUUAACGCGAAAUUAAACCGUUUUUGCGAGUGUUUAGCUACAUAGAAAGCCCUAUAACGUUAUAGCGUUUGAGCUAGCUAGUUAAUUUUUAAGUUACCAAUAAGCUAAGACACACGAGACAAGUGACUUUAACGGACAACGGUGAUUCAGCUUGCUAGCUAGAAAGAGAAAUCUUGAAACCCUCAACACCCAUAACGUAACAUUCAUUGAUGUUAAGGUCCAUAAUUUGAUGUAUAUCGUUUUCGGAUCUCGCCAGUGUUAUAUUUAUUGCUGCGUUUCGAUCUACCAAGAUGUAUGGGAUGUCGGGAUGACAGGAAAAUGGCAAACGGGGUUGGAAAACACAAGCUACUUGUCAUUGGACCAAUAGAGCCAUGGUCAGUGAGGGAGAAGCUGUGUUUGGCCACAUCUGUCAUGAAGAGUGGAGACCAGAACUGGGUAUCUGUCAGUCGAGCCAUCAAGCCAUUUGCAGAACCCGGGCGACCACCUGAUUGGUUCUCUCAAAAGCACUGUGCCUCCAAGUACUCUGAGCUCCUGGAAACAACAGAGGCCCCAAAGCGGAAGCGUGGUGAGAAAAGUGAAGUGGUGGAGACAGUGGAGGACGUGAUAGUACGCAGGCUGACAGCUGACAGGAUUGAUGAACUAAAAAGGUUGAUCAAAGAAACACAGGAGAAGCACAGGAAGCUGAAGAGAGAGGCUGAACUGAUUCAAGCAGGACGUCUAGAUUCCAAACUAGAAGAGUUAUGGGAAGAAGUUCUGCAGAAGGAGAAACUGGAGGAGGAAGAAACAGAGUUGAAAAGAAAAAACACAAAUGCUUCUUAUCAGGCCAGACAGGUGGCAAAGAACACACCUAAGCGAGUGCCAAGCAUCACCAUGCAUUCACCCUCAGACUGUAGCUCCCCAAGCAAGGAGUUCUCACCAGGUGACCCACUCGAGUGCUUGACACUGGAUCUUGCAUCAACAAAAAAUCUCACUCGACCACCGCUGCUCUCACGUUCUUUUUCUGGCUUGUUAAGCCGGGGAGGAGGGGCCAACUUGAACGCUGUGUGUUUAAAAACAGCUUCAGGAUCAGCCAAAUUAAUGUCAAUUGCUGAGUCUUCUGGACUUGGUAAUGAUGACGUCGGCCACGGGUCACUUCUGGAUGACCCCACCCAAAAGAAGCUUCUGGGCCAGAAAGCCACACCACCACCAUCUCCGCUCCUGUCAGAGUUAUUGAAGAAAGGCAGUAUCUUGGCCACAAAUUCCAGACUGAUUGGGGAGGGUGACGUGACCACCGGUAAUAUGACAGCAGCAAAUGACUUGCAGCUGGCUCCGCCUAGCCAACCUCUCUCUCAGGCAACAGGUGCCCCGAUGUUAUCCCGUCUCCUGGAGGCAAGUCCCACCCAGUUUUCUGCUCCGUUAGGUUUCAUGGUCAGUGCUGACUCAGCCUCCAGUGCUCCUCUCUCUGCUGCCACUCCUGUGCCUGUUGACUCUGCUGCAAGUACAGAGAUGGAUGUUAUGGUGCCAUCUUUGCCACCUGGAUGCCAACCUGUCUCUGCAGAGGAUAAAGUGUCAGAGCUCAGUGAGGAGGAUGUGUCUGGGUCCUACAUGGGGGAUGAGCUGGACCUGAAGACAGUGGGGGACAUUAUUGCCAUCAUUGAGGACAAGGCAGAUGAGAUUGUAGAGGCUUUGGAUGCAGCUGCAGUUGAGGCUGCGCUGUCACUGUGUGAGGAGAACGGCCAUGCUUUGUCUGGUGCCUGGGAGGCUGGGCCUUUCCAGCCCCAUGAGUCUCACCCCGCAGUGCCCACAGGGGACCCACAGUCCUUGUCUUUUCACAGUUGUCUGGAGGGGAAGACAGAAUUGUUAGAAGUUCAGCGUGGGACUUCAGCUUCACUCUCCUCUGUUUGCAACAGUCAAGAUAACGGUCUUGCAGCAUUCCCAAUGGGACUAAGGGGCCUUCCUCCCACCUCCUCAUCCUCACGCAGCUCAAAGAGUUUGGAGCACUGCCACACUGGAGCACCUCCACAACCUGAGGCCAUGAGAGAGACUGGAGGGUUGGCACACCAGAGAAGCCAAAUUUCAAGGGGUAUUACUAUAAAAUGUGAGAGUAAGAAGUGGACACAGCAAAGACCUGAAAAACCCCAUGGAGACUCAGUGUUAGAAGAUAGCCCACUGACAGAAAGGCAUCCCAAGAAGAUGAAAGCUGAGGAUGGAAUAAGUGUCGGGGGAGGAGAGAAUGCCUCAGGGACUAAAGUGUACAAUGAGCACAAUGGGCCAGAAGUGUGUGGAGAAGAAGACGGUGAUGGGGUGGAGGGAUUCUUGUCAGAGCCAGACGGCGAGAUGGAGCUAGAACCUGCGGCCAGCGAGAGUGAGGAUGGAUACAGCCUCCAUACGGCCUCCUCGUCUCUACAGCUCCACACAACCGCAGACUCCAUCCCCAGCAGCCCUGCCUCAUCACAGUUUUCUGUGUGCAGUGAGGACCUGGAAGCUCUACAGGCUCACAAGAUCUGGAAGAAAGCCAUUAUGCUGGUGUGGCGUGCAGCGGCCAAUCACAGGUAUGCAAAUGUCUUCCUGCAGCCAGUAACAGAUGAAAUUGCACCUGGGUACCACAGUAUUGUGCAGAGGCCCAUGGACCUUGCCGCCAUAAAAAAGAACAUUGAGACUGGUGUGAUUCGGACCACCGCUGAGUUCCAGAGGGACAUCAUGCUGAUGUUUCAGAAUGCGGUCAUGUACAACAGUCUGGAUCAUGACGUGUACCACAUGGCUCUGGAGAUGCAGCGUGAUGUCCUGGAGCAGAUCCAGCAGUUUCUGGCUACCCAGCUUAUCAUGGAGACGUCAGAGUCUGGUAUCAGCGCCAAGAGCCUGAGGGGCCGUGAGAGCACACGCAAACAGGACUCUACUGACAAGGUGCUUCACUAGAAUUUUGACAAAAGCAGAGAGUACAGAAGAAGAGACAAGGGACAUUGUCUCCAUGUCCUCUCCUGCCUUCCUUCUUUCUCUUUUUGAUGGAGGCACCAGAGGGCGCCGUUGUGCCAUAGAAGCUGACCUCAAGAUGAAGAAAUGAACAAACAGUAUGUGGACAGUAUCCAAAAGUGUCGCUGGGUUGAAGUAAAAGGUGUGAAGCCACAAGACUGAACUUAUUCUGUCAGUUGCACCAUUUCUCACUCUGCAUAAAAUGCAGUAUAACCUUAUUUGCACUCUAAAUUAAAUAGGUAGACUGUGAUAUGGAGAAGCCUAUUUCCUCUGAGACAGCCAUACAGACAUGGAUUACAAACUGUAUAAUCCCAGAUUACAAUGGUGCAGAUCACUUAGGCUUAGCCUGCUCUGAAUUACAUCAGGUUAUAUAAAUGAAGAUAAAAGUUACUCUGAAAUUAAACCUGCAUGAUCUUCUGGUUGAACUUCAGAUAAGUCUGGUUGAUUUCGUGAAAACAUACCAUGUUGGUGAUGAUAUGUUAAACCAGAGGCCAAAGAGUCUGAUUAAUUUAGAAGUUGUAAAUGGUCAUACUAAUUUCAAACAGAAACAUUUAAUUUUUUUGUAUGGGAUCAUUUGAGUUUUGUUUUUUAGUUUU